rnacentral:rRNA from 1 species
GACGAACGCUGGCGGCGUGCUUAACACAUGCAAGUCGAACGGAAAGGCCCUGCUUUUGUGGGGUGCUCGAGUGGCGAACGGGUGAGUAACACGUGAGUAACCUGCCCUUGACUUUGGGAUAACUUCAGGAAACUGGGGCUCAUACCGGAUAGGAGCUCCUGCUGCAUGGUGGGGGUUGGAAAGUUUCGGCGGUUGGGGAUGGACUUGCGGCUUAUCAGCUUGUUGGUGGGGUAGUGGCUUACCAAGGCUUUGACGGGUAGCCGGCCUGAGAGGGUGACCGGCCACAUUGGGACUGAGAUACGGCCCAGACUCCUACGGGAGGCAGCAGUGGGGAAUAUUGCACAAUGGGCGGAAGCCUGAUGCAGCAACGCCGCGUGCGGGAUGACGGCCUGCGGGUUGUAAACCGCUUUCGCCUGUGACGAAGCGUGAGUGACGGUAAUGGGUAAAGAAGCACCGGCUAACUACGUG